rnacentral:rRNA from 1 species
UACGAAGGGGGCUAGCGUUGCUCGGAAUCACUGGGCGUAAAGCGCACGUAGGCGGCUUUCUAAGUCAGGGGUGAAAUCCUGGAGCUCAACUCCAGAGCUGCCUUUGAUACUGGGAAGCCUGAGUCCGGAAGAGGUGAGUGGAACUCCGAGUGUAGAGGUGAAAUUCGUAGAUAUUCGGAAGAACACCAGUGGCGAAGGCGGCUCACUGGUCCGGUACUGACGCUGAGGUGCGAAAGCGUGGGGAGCAAACAGG